AUUGAACGCUGGCGGCAUGCUUUACACAUGCAAGUCGAACGGCAGCGCGGGCUUCGGCCUGGCGGCGAGUGGCGAACGGGUGAGUAAUGCAUCGGAACGUGCCCAGUAGUGGGGAUAGCCCGGCGAAAGCCGGAUUAAUACCGCAUACGACCUGAGGGUGAAAGCGGGGGACCGAAAGGCCUCGCGCUAUUGGAGCGGCCGAUGUCGGAUUAGCUAGUUGGUGGGGUAAAGGCUUACCAAGGCGACGAUCCGUAGCUGGUCUGAGAGGACGACCAGCCACACGGGGACUGAGACACGGCCCAGACUCCUACGGGAGGCAGCAGUGGGGAAUUUUGGACAAUGGGGGCAACCCUGAUCCAGCCAUGCCGCGUGCGGGAAGAAGGCCUUCGGGUUGUAAACCGCUUUUGUUCGGGAAGAAAUCCUCUGGGCUAAUACCCCGGGGGGAUGACGGUACCGGAAGAAUAAGCACCGGCUAACUACGUG
rnacentral:rRNA from 1 species